rnacentral:rRNA from 1 species
UACGAAGGGGGCUAGCGUUGUUCGGAAUUACUGGGCGUAAAGCGCGCGCAGGCGGCCUUCCAAGUCAGUGGUGAAAGCCCGGAGCUCAACUCCGGAAAUGCCAUUGAAACUGUAAGACUUGAGGAUGAGAGAGGUGAGUGGAAUUCCCAGUGUAGAGGUGAAAUUCGUAGAUAUUGGGAAGAACACCCGUGGCGAAAGCGGCUCUCUGGGACGGUACUGACGCUGAGACGCGAAAGCGUGGGGAGCAAACAGG